rnacentral:lncRNA from 1 species
CCAAUCAAUACGAAAAUUUUUAUGGUCAAGUUGUGACAAACAUAUGUGGCUCAUGCCACUCUGGUUAAUCAUUGUUGAAUAUCCGAAAUAAUAUAAGGUGGAGUGCAAUGAUUUUUUUGGUUGAAAAAUCGAAUUAAGAAAUUUGCUGAACCUCUGGUUUGACUAGGUACAUUGGAUUAUUCAACAAUGUUGAAUAAUUAUAAAACAUGUUAGUAAUAAUUAAGAAAAAAACAAAAUAAAAUAUAAAAAAUAAAGUAAACUAUGCAAAUAGUCACUCAAUUUUGAUAAAAUGAUGAAAUAAUUAUUAAAAAAUAAUAAUAAAUCACUCGCUCACUAAUAUUUUUAGUUGCUUGCUAUAUUGAAUAUGAGCAGCAAAGGUCAUAAUUUGAAGGGAGAAGGGAAGGACGAGUAGAAAAAAAAAAGGAAAAAGGGAAAUUUGGGCUGGGCUGGGCUGGGCAGUAGAAGAAGAGAAGAAGACUGUUUAACCAUUUAACACUAUUUUUGGCAAAAAAAAAAAGUUAUUUUAACCUUUUGUAUUGAUAAUCUUUCAACCUUUGAAAUAACCUGUUGUAUCAAAACCGCCUCAAAAUCUGAUGGGUUUCGCGAUGAUUGGGUUGGUCUCGGACCACUUAAUGACUCCACCGUGCUACUCAUGCUACUCCUCGCCGUCUCUGCGAGUUCACUUCCGAAUCUUCAUAAUUGUCGCCCGUCUUAUGUAACCGGUGGUCGUUGGCGACAAAGCCUUCGUUGUUUCGACGAUGAUCACGGUCCAUUCCCAAAGCAGGGAAAUCGGAGGAAUUAAAAGGGAAUUCAUUUUCGCUUUGUCUCCACAGAGGGUAAUCGCCACCACAUCGUAGGCUCGAGCAGCUUCUUCAGCCGAAUUGAAGGUCCCUAGCCAAACCCUAGUUUUUUUCAAGGGAUCUCUAACCUUCGCUGCAAAUCUUCCCCAUGGUCUUUUUCUUUUCUUUCUUAAAUUGAGGCCAUUUAACAUGACAACUAGGAUGCCAACGUGGCCAGUUGAAUGACAGGUCAGCUUUCCAUUACAGAUGUAAUGGAAAAUGGUUGUUUGUGGCUGGUUUGCUAUUUUUCUAAAAUUCAGUGACUGAAUUGUAACUUUUCAAAAUUUAGUAACUGUUUUGUUAUUUUAACCCAAGUUUAGUGACUAUUACUGUACUUUACCCUAAAAAUAAUUUUAAAAAAUUUAUAUUAAAAAAACUAAAGAUGGAAAUAAUGCAAAAUAUAUAUUUUUUUAAAAAACCUAUUUUUCUGUUAAAAAGUAUAAAACCAAUACCGUAAAAAUCAAAACAAUCCAGUUUGAUUUUCUUUAAUAUUUUACAAUUUUAAACCGCUAAAUCAAGUUAUUCAAGUUCAGCAGAUUCAACCCACUGAUCCAGUCUGAUUUUUUUCAAGGAAAUGUUUGGACGUUCAAAAAGAGAAAAGUAGAACAACAUAUCAAAUAAGGGGAUUCAUUAUCCAUUAAAUGUAAGGUGAAAACUAUAAUAUGUGACGUCCAUGAAAUCCUCU